AAUAUUUCUGACCCUGAUUUUCCAUCUUUCAAUUUCAGUCGCGAUAUUUGACGCCCACUCUCCUUCGAGAUCUGUUAUUCACUCUCGUUCUCGUCGUUGCUCUUCAUCUUCAAGGUUUCUCACCAUUUUCGGCAUCAAGGGGCCACUUGCUCCUCCACUGCUAAACCCUCGUGAGCUGUCGUACGUCAAUCAAUGACCAUUCCUCCUCCGCAGUAGCCACAACGAGCACCUCCUUGUUGCGCCUCACCUAGGGUUCUAACUGCAGUGCGCUAGCCCGCGACCUUCGUGCCUCACCUAGGUCAUUCUCAACAAUUCAAUGGGACUACGUAACUGAAUUGUGAAUUCUCGAUCCAAAAUCGACAAUGUCUUGGGGUUUGGGUUGGAAGAGACCUUUGGAGAUCUUCCACCUUACUCUUAGCUAUGGCAUCGACGAUCCGCUAGAGAAUAUCGCUCGCACUUCAUCCUUUUCCCAGUCCUCCUCUUCCUCUUCUUCUCUGUUGUCUUCGUCCGCUUCCACUUCCUCAAUCAUCUCCAAGGAUCAGGAGCUCAGGUUUCGCAUUGAAUUGGAUUGGUCGGCGUCAGAGGACAAGGACCAGGUGGCGCUAAAGCUUCAAUCGCAACUGAUGGUGGCGUUGCCGAUACUGUAGGAGACAGUGGUGGUUGAGCUCUCACCUCGGGAUGAUCAUGAGAACGUGGUGGAUCUGGGAAUGAAGGUUGUUAAGCGACGAGAGCCUCUCAGAUUGUUGGAGAUGUCGUCGUUGCCGCUCUGGUAACCACUAGACCAGUCUCUCUGUUCUGAGCCUAUGUGGUUGUGGCUUGUCGACCUCCCCUUGCACUCAAUGUUGGACCCGUUGCUAAAUUGUUCUAUGGUUGUCUUGAUAAUGGUUUUCAGGUUAACACUCCUUCAUCUUUCUACAUUUCUUCUUUUUAAUUUUGUUAUAAUUUUAGUAGUAAUUGCUAUACUGGAUAUGAUUAGAAAUUAAAUAAUCUCUACAGGUGGCUCUAGAACAUCGUAUACCCUUCUCCAAAGAAUAGAUGCUAUAGUGGUAUGUCUUGGAUCAUUUUAAGCCCGUCACAUAAUUUUUCCUUUUAAAUGAGGAUCGUUUUUGUCUCUUAUGCAGCGUAACAGCACAAAGCUAUUUGUUGUUGGCGUCGACGUUUCAUUGGUAACUUAGCACAUUAUUUGUUCACAAAAUACCCUUUUAGCUUAUUAUAGCCUUUUGGUCUUGGAGUUAUGCUGAUCUUCAAAAUAUGUGGAAAACAAAAUUAAUUUAUGUUAGACUUCCUGCAGCGGUUUCAUUGUUUUGACAGUUGGAUUGAGCUUUUAGGUAUCACAGUUUAAGAUUUAAGUUAAUGGAGAAUUAUUAUAUUGAUUAGAAUUUCUCUUGCUAUUUCUUCGUAUUUCACUCUAUUUCCUAGUCUGAUAUAAAUCUUUUGCUAAGUUCUUGUUUUGAGACUUGAUUAUGUAUUUAGCCAUAUAAUAGUGAAUUACUUCACCUAAAAAACAUUGAAACUAACUAACAACUAAUUACAUAUAGCAAUAUGGUGUAACAUAGUUAGUAGAUAGUUUCUUCUUUAACCAUAUGAGUAAGAGUUCAUCCUCGAUUAGAGUGUAUGGAAAAACAUGUGUAGAAAAGGUCAACUUCUUAAAUAGAUUUCAGUAUUCCAAGAAAUUAAUCUUUUGAAUCCCAAUUGUGAAAAAUUUGCUGGAAUGUACUCUCUCUGGGCCUAUUCUUUUGCAUAAGUAUAGUUCUCUUGAAAACGUGAAUUCACCACUCCUUUUCAAAUAUUUUCAUUCAUUAACAAAAUAAAGUAACUCUUAUUAAUAUGAUUUCUUCGUUACAAUCUUUUCUUCAAUUCUUGACAAGGUAGAAGAAGCAUGCCGAUACAAGAGAUGUCUAGAGUUUUUAUUCUUGGACAAUCAAAUAAGUUUUCAAUUCCUGGGAUAGCUUUGGUUGAAUUUCUCAAAUUGUUGAUCGCAUUCUAUUUCCCCCUUUCAAUUUUUGUUGGGAUGGCUUGCUUUCAAAAGUUCCUCAUGUGUUAGUCAUUCACGGAGAAAGUGAUGGCAGGGUGGAGUGCAUAAAGGGGGGCUAUAUUCUGGUAGAUAAUAAAGGAUGCAUAAAACUUGCAGACUUUGGGGCAUCCAAACAUGUCGUUGAGCUGAUCUUUAAUGAUUUAUCUCCCAUGAAAGUUCCAGACAUUGAAGACAUUAGAAUUAAGUGGGUUUCUUUUAUUUUAAGUGUUAGUAAACUGUAGAAACUUGACUACAAUGUAGUGUAGAUUAAUGUUAUAUUUGG